rnacentral:misc_RNA from 1 species
GUGAGUGGUGAACGGGUUGUUGCUUGAUGUCUCGGAUACGGUAUAUUCGGUGGGCUUGGGUUCGCACCCUCUAUGCCCAAAAUUCCAAGCGUUUUGUCGCUAGACAUGCACGACUGUCUUGCUCCUUGCGGGAUCCCCGCAAGGUGCCUGGCGUCGGCAAAGGAAUGCUACCUGGUUGAUCCUGCCAGUAGUCAUAUGCUUGUCUCAAAGAUUAAGCCAUGCAUGUGUAAGUAUGAACUAAUUCAGACUGUGAAACUGCGAAUGGCU